GACGAACGCUGGCGGCGUGCCUAACACAUGCAAGUCGAGCGAGUGAAUCUCCUUCGGGAGUGAAACUAGCGGCGGACGGGUGAGUAACACGUGGGCAACCUGCCUCAUAGAGGGGAAUAGCCUUUCGAAAGGAAGAUUAAUACCGCAUAAGAUUGUAGCUUCGCAUGAAGUAGCAAUUAAAGGAGUAAUCCGCUAUGAGAUUGGCCCGCGUCUGAUUAGCUAGUUGGUGAGGUAACGGCUCACCAAGGCUACGAUCAGUAGCUGAUCUGAGAGGAUGAUCAGCCACAUUGGGACUGAGACACGGCCCAAACUCCUACGGGAGGCAGCAGUGGGGAAUAUUGGACAAUGGGCGCAACCCUGAUCCAGCCAUGCCGCGUGAGUGAUGAAGGCCUUAGGGUUGUAAAGCUCUUUCACCGGGGAAGAUAAUGACGGUACCCGGAGAAGAAGCCCCGGCUAACUUCGUGCCAGCCGCCGCGGUAAUAC
rnacentral:rRNA from 1 species